GGGGGCGAUCUGGAUUCGACGCCGGUUACAAAACCUAAGGUGCAUGCCGAGAGGGUAGUGACUCUCGUAAAUCAAUCACUGUAACUUUUACAGUUGCCAAUGACGAAAACUACGCAUUAGCCGCUUAAACCAACUUUUUAGUUAGUCUAAGUUAAAGCUUGACCCGGGGCGGAUAUGCCCAUGUAUUCAAACCGGGUGCGCGACUCAUGGGACCGUUGCCUAGCCCUGCUUGUGGCGGAAGCAAUUAAACUUAAAGCAAGCUCGCCUCUUAAUCCCUUUUCGUUGGGCCAGUGAGGGGUUAAAUAAUAAACGGAAUAAGCAUGUAGAGCCGAAGGCCGCGGACUGACGGACGCGGGUUCAAUUCCCGCCGCCUCCACCA
rnacentral:tmRNA from 1 species